rnacentral:rRNA from 1 species
AGGCCUUAUACUGCAAGUCGAGGGGCAGCAUUUACUUCGGUAAAUGGCGACCGGCGCACGGGUGAGUAACGCGUAUGCAACCUACCUUUAACUGGGGCAUAGCUCGAGGAAACUCGAAUUAAUUCCCCAUAGUACAUUAUAAUGUCACAUGAUAUAAAUGUUAAAGAUUUAUCGGUUAAAGAUGGGCAUGCGUCUGAUUAGUUUGUUGGUAAGGUAACGGCUUACCAAGGCUACGAUCAGUAGGGGGUCUGAGAGGAUGAUCCCCCACACUGGUACUGAGACACGGACCAGACAUCUACGGAUGGCAGCAGUAAGGAAUAUUGGGCAAUGGGCGCAAGCCUGACCCAGCCAUGCCGCGUGCAGGAUGACGACCCUAUGGGUUGUAAACUGCUUUUAUAUAGGAAGAAAAUACUCUUGCGAGAGGAUCUGACGGUACUAUAUGAAU